GAGGAGGAAGACCAACCACAACAGGCAUCCCAGGGUGCUCGUUGUCACCUAUCUGGUACCCGUGGUGUUGUACGUGGCUGGGGGGAAGAACAUACCUUCAUUGAGAUCACUGAGGAGGAGGAACGGAAAAUGAGUAGCUCGGCAUCCAACCUUGUGCAAAUGGGGUCUUUCAUGCUGUCGUGCCUGUUGAGGGACCCUCGUAUAAAAAGGCUGAAGGAGAACGACCUGUACUGGGUGUCCACGCUAAUAGACCCCCGGUAUAAGCAGAAAGUGGCUGAAAUGUUACCAAAUUACAACGAGUCGGAAAGGAUGCAGCAUUUGCAAAAUAAAUUAAAAACUAUGCUUUACAUAGCGUAUAAGGGUGAUGUCACAGCACAACGGGAAUCUAACAGGGGAAGAGGUGAAAGUAAUCCUCCUCCUCCCACGACCACGCCGGCAAGGACAGGACGCUUUACAGAUGUGUUGUUGAUGGAGGACAUGCGG